UACGGGGGGGGCGAGCGUUGUUCGGAAUUACUGGGCGUAAAGGGUUUGUAGGUGGCCUGCUAAGUCAGACGUGAAAUCCCUCAGCUUAACUGGGGAACUGCGUCUGAUACUGGUGGGCUUGAGGACAGGAGAGGAACGCGGAAUUCCAGGUGUAGCGGUGAAAUGCGUAGAUAUCUGGAGGAACACCGGUGGCGAAGGCGGCGUUCUGGACUGUUUCUGACACUGAAAAACGAAAGCCAGGGGAGCAAACGGG
rnacentral:rRNA from 1 species